rnacentral:rRNA from 1 species
GAUGAACGCUGGCGGCGUGCCUAACACAUGCAAGUCGAGCGAAGCGCUUAAAUUAGAUUUCUUCGGAAUGACGAUUUUUGUGACUGAGCGGCGGACGGGUGAGUAACGCGUGGGUAACCUGCCUCAUACAGGGGGAUAACAGUUAGAAAUGACUGCUAAUACCGCAUAAGACCCCAGCUUCGCAUGAAGCGGUGGUAAAAACUCCGGUGGUAUGAGAUGGACCCGCGUCUGAUUAGCUAGUUGGUAAGGUAACGGCUUACCAAGGCGACGAUCAGUAGCCGACCUGAGAGGGUGACCGGCCACAUUGGGACUGAGACACGGCCCAGACUCCUACGGGAGGCAGCAGUGGGGAAUAUUGCACAAUGGGGGAAACCCUGAUGCAGCGACGCCGCGUGAAGGAUGAAGUAUUUCGGUAUGUAAACUUCUAUCAGCAGGGAAGAAAGUGACGGUACCUGACAAAGAAGCCCCGGCUAACUACGUG